rnacentral:lncRNA from 1 species
AGCUCAGAAUCCAGUAAUUUUUGUAGAGCAACCUUGUCAAGCCUUCAUAGAGUAGAAGACAGAAAUCAAACUGUUGCUUCAGAAGAGACACAUCCCUUGAAGCUUCCCUGUCCCUGACAUCACUUGCACAGUUGGCCUGGGUGACAUCGCUUGCACAGUUGACCUGUGUGACAUCGCUUGCACAGUUGGCCUGGGUGACAUCGCUUGCACAUUUGGCCUGGGUGACAUCACUUGCACAGUUGGCCUGGGUGACAUCGCUUGCACAGUUGGCCUGGAUGACAUCGCUUGCACAGUUGGCCUGGGUGACAUCGCUUGCACAGUUGGCCUGGGUGACAUCACUUGCACAGUUGGCCUGGGAGACAUCUCUUGCACAGUUGGUCUGGGUGACAUCACUUGCUGGUUAGCCUGGGAGACAUUGCUUGCACAGUUGGCCUGGAUGACAUCGCUUGCACAGUUGGCCUGGGAGACAUCUCUUGCACAGUUGGUCUGGGUGACAUCACUUGCUGGUUAGCCUGGGAGACAUCGCUUGCACAGUUGGCCUGGAUGACAUCGCUUGCACAGUUGGCCUGGGUGACAGAAUGCUCCUCACUCAUUGGCCUGUCCUCAAGGACACUGACGACUCACUGACGAGUGCGCUUCAUCAUUCACUCUUCUCUUAUCUGAGAAGAGGCUGUAACAGGAGCGGUGCUGCAGGGAUGUUUGGGAUGUUUGGGCCGCAUCAGGAAAGGCAGUGCUAGAAAAAAAAACCCAGCAGCUUUAAAUAACCACAAAGUUCAGGGAGCCCAGUGCAUUAUUUCAGUAUCGUCCUUUUGUGUGUGGCUUUCUGUGUCAUGUAUUUUUGAAAGUUACCCAGUGUUACCCUGCAGCUGCUCGGGGCUGCAGUAAAUAUGACAGCUGACACCUGGGAAGGGGCAGGCUGAGGGACCACGGAGAGCAGG